AACGAACGCUGGCGGCAGGCCUAACACAUGCAAGUCGAGCGAGCGCUUCGGCCCUAGCGGCGGACGGGUGAGUCACGCGUGGGAACGUGCCCUUCUCUCUGGCAUAGCUCUGGGAAACCGGGAGUAAUGCCGGAUACGCGCUCGUGGAAUGGCUCAUCGUGAGGAAAGAUUUUACGUGGAAGGAUCGGCCCGCGUCGGAUCAGGUAGAUGGUUGGGUGACGGCAUACCAAGCCGAGGAUCCGUAGAUGGUCUGAGAGAAUGAUCAGUCACACUGGGGCUGAGACACGGCCCAGACUCCUACGGGAGGCAGCAGUGGGGAAUCGUGGAACAUGGGGGCAACCCUGAUGCAGCCAUGACGGGUGAGCGAUGAAGGCAUUAGGGUUGUAAAGCUCUUUCAGCGGGGAAGAUAAUGACGGUACCCGAAGAAGAAGCCCCGGCUAACUCCGUG
rnacentral:rRNA from 1 species